GCGCCUUCCGGGCCGGGGCUUCCACGACUUCCGGUUCCGGGUGACAGUUCGGGUCCGCUAGAGACUUCCAGGCCGGCUGUGCGUGAAAAAGCGAGCACCGCUGUCUUUCUCAACGCCGGAGAAAACAGAAGCGAACAAGCGAAGCGGACUCAACACCGCGACCGUAGACCCACCUGGACAACGACAACAAUGACUUCGACUAAGAAAGAAAACCAUGACUUUGACGCGGAUCCACUCACCACUGCAAGGGGGAAGCGGCUUGGCGGGAUGCCUGCCGUGCCAGCCGGAGGCGAUCGUUGUCGGAGGAGGAGAAUAUGCUUUCGAGGCGCCAGCGUCCAUGCUAUUGUAGCAGCAUCGACGAAGAUGAGGAGAAGGGCGGCUGGCUAGGGACAGGCCUAGGAAGCGAAGCGGGCGCGUGGCCCAAAUCACGGGAUUUUAUCCGCCGAAGAAUGACCGUCAGUUAGGGCAUGUUCCUGCUCAGUAAAAAAUAUACUCCUGUUUAUUGUGGCUCAUCGUCA